UCUCUUCUAGAGCACCACCAAAAGUGACAGGAACACAGAAGGCAGAGGCCACCGGGAGAAGUUGGAGCUGGUGGCCUCCUUCUCCUUCUUCGGGAACGUCAUGUCCAUGGCCAGUGUGCAGCUCGCAGGGGCCAAAAGGGACGCUCUCCUGCUCAGCUUCAAGGAUGCCAAGCUCUCGGUGGUUGAGUACGAUCCUGGCACCCACGAUCUGAAAACGCUUUCCCUUCAUUACUUUGAAGAGCCGGAACUGAAGGUAGGAG